rnacentral:rRNA from 1 species
UAGCCGAGUUGAGAGACUGAUCGGCCACAUUGGGACUGAGACACGGCCCAAACUCCUACGGGAGGCAGCAGUAGGGAAUCUUCCACAAUGGACGCAAGUCUGAUGGAGCAACGCCGCGUGAGUGAAGAAGGGUUUCGGCUCGUAAAGCUCUGUUGUUGGUGAAGAAGGACAGGGGUAGUAACUGACCUUUGUUUUGUACGGUAAUCAAUUAGAAAGUCACGGCUAACUACGUGCCAGCAGCCGCGGUAAAU